AACGUAGGAGACAAACGUUAUCCGGAGUUACUGGGCGUAAAGGGCGUGUAGGUGGUAGAGUAAGUCUGGCGUGAAAUUUUUCGGCUUAACCGGGAAAGGUCGUCGGAUACUGCUUAACUAGAGGACGGUAGAGGCGUGUGGAAUUCCGGGUGUAGUGGUGAAAUGCGUAGAGAUCCGGAGGAACACCAGUGGCGAAGGCGACACGCUGGGCCGGUACCUGACACUGAUGCGCGACAGCAUGGGGAGCAAACAGG
rnacentral:rRNA from 1 species